rnacentral:rRNA from 1 species
UACGGGGGGGGCAAGCGUUGUUCGGAUUUACUGGGCGUAAAGCGCGUGUAGGCGGCUUGGCAAGUCGGAUGUGAAAGCCCACGGCUCAACCGUGGAAGCGCAUCCGAAACUGCUUCGCUCGAGUCUCGGAGAGGAAGGUGGAAUGCUUGGUGUAGAGGUGAAAUUCGUAGAUAUCAAGCAGAACACCUGCGGCGAAGGCGGCCUUCUGGACGAUGACUGACGCUGAGACGCGAAAGCGUGGGGAGCAAACAGG